GAUGAUUCAGAGGAAUAACAUUUAAAUUGUCUUAACUUUUGUUUCCUUAUUUUUCAGAUGCAAUCACUUGGUCUCCCCUGAGGUGAUCUGGUACUUUGGGUUUAAAUUACAAUUUUGCAUCUUCAUUUGAGAAAUUUAGCUUCAGAAAGGAUAACUUGCAGGCAUACAACACCAGUGGGUUAUAAAUAUGUGCACAUGUGUUUACUGCAUGACAUCUUACAAAUGACUGAAAAUGGAUACAACAGAAAUGUUCAUCAAUGUGGAAUAAGUGGAAAACACACUUCAUCUUUUGGGCAUGAUUAAAACAGACAUAUUGUUAAUACCAAUACCCCUUGGUGAAACUCACUGUCAUCAUCACAGAAGGAUACACAUCAUCCAUUCAGCUAAGGAGAUGCAAAAGAGAUGGCCUUGGCUGAAAAAUAUGAAGCACGCACCAUUC
rnacentral:lncRNA from 1 species